UACGGAGGGGGCUAGCGUUGUUCGGAAUUACUGGGCGUAAAGCGCACGUAGGCGGCUUUGUAAGUUAGAGGUGAAAGCCCGGGGCUCAACUCCGGAAUUGCCUUUAAGACUGCAUCGCUAGAAUUGUGGAGAGGUAAGUGGAAUUCCGAGUGUAGAGGUGAAAUUCGUAGAUAUUCGGAAGAACACCGGUGGCGAAGGCGGCCUUCUGGACAGUGACUGACGCUGAGACGCGAAAGCGUGGGGAGCAAACAGGG
rnacentral:rRNA from 1 species